AUGAUCUAUACAUAGUAAAGGAACUUGACAAGUAUCAUACUAUAACUAUAGGAAUAGGGCUAUAACCA